rnacentral:ncRNA from 1 species
CAUAGGCCUUGGUUAAGGGAACCCACUGGAGUCGCAGCGAAAGCGAGUCUUCAUAGGGCAAUUGUCACUAUUUAUGGACUUGAACUUGGGUGAUCUAUCCAUGACUAGGAUAAAGCUUGGGUGAAACUAAGUGGAAGUCUGAACCGCCUGAUAUUAAAAAAUUAAUAGAUGAGUUGUGAUUAGGGGUGAAAUGCUACUCAAACCCAGAGCUAAUUGG